rnacentral:rRNA from 1 species
GACGAACGCUGGCGGCGUGCCUAAUACAUGCAAGUUGAGCGCUGAAGGUUGGUACUUGUACCAACUGGAUGAGCAGCGAACGGGUGAGUAACGCGUGGGGAAUCCGCCUUUGAGCGGGGGACAACAUUUGGAAACGAAUGCUAAUACCGCAUAAAAACUUUAAACACAAGUUUUAAGUUUGAAAGAUGCAAUUGCCUAACUCAAAGAUGAUCCCGCGUUGUAUUAGCUAGUUGGUGAGGUAAAGGCUCACCAAGGCGAUGAUACAUAGCCGACCUGAGAGGGUGAUCGGCCACAUUGGGACUGAGACACGGCCCAAACUCCUACGGGAGGCAGCAGUAGGGAAUCUUCGGCAAUGGACGAAAGUCUGACCGAGCAACGCCGCGUGAGUGAAGAAGGUUUUCGGAUCGUAAAACUCUGUUGGUAGAGAAGAACGUUGGUGAGAGUGGAAAGCUCAUCAAGUGACGGUAACUACCCAGAAAGGGACGGCUAACUACGUG